rfam:Triticum aestivum genome assembly, contig: Triticum_aestivum_CS42_TGACv1_scaffold_210825_3AS
GGACUAUGGUGCAGCCAAGGAUGACUUGCCGAUCGAAUAAUGAUACAUCAUCGUCAUAUACAUUGAUCGAUCGGCGAGUUGUUCUUGGCUACGUCUUAGCUCCU